UCAUGGACUGUUAAUGGAAAAUGUUGUUUUAUACAUUAGAAAUUAUGGUAAUAAGAUAAAAAGAUAGUAGGAUAGGGAGACGAGAAUGUUGGAAGUCAGUGGUAAGUGAAAACCAAAAGCAAAAUGUUGAAAGAAAAUAUGCAGGGACAGCAGUCUACUGUAAACAUGAGAAUUA
rnacentral:miRNA from 11 species